CAGACGUGCUUGGCGCUGGUAGCGUCGGCUUGCCUCCGGGUGCUUAGGUAAAGCCGUUCUGGCUCUGGUGGUGCAUCAGGGGAGCGGAUGGCCGUCCUGGUGUUGAGGAGGCCUCGCUGGGGGGUUUGCGUUUGCGACGUUGGUGGUCGGGUGGCGCUGCUGGCUGCUGUUUGGAAGAUUGGAACGGCCACGGCAUAUUGUUUGCGACCUUGGUGGUCGGGGGAUUCAUUUGCGUGUUCAUUUUGUUUGCUGACUUGCAUGGGUGGGUAGUCUUGGCCUGAAUGUACUAGAAAAUCUGGGAAGGCCAUGUGGAAAAUUGGAAUGAAUGGGCCUGUGUUGUUGUCUGGUUUUCGUGUGAAAUAAAACUGAUCUGCCCGUGUGAGUGUUCCUGGUCAGAUGUGAUUGACUACUAGCUAGAUUCCUGUGAACUAAUAAAGAUCUGCUGUUCCCGUGUA